AUUUUCCUAUAUUCUUCCAUGCUGAUGACCGUGCAGCAGAGUUGGAGUGGACCUCUUGUUGUUCAUACUUCUCCAGGCACUAUGAACCAUCUGACUAGCCAUCCUGUUUAACACUGCACUGAGGACACUACAACCAGAGAGAUGCUGUCAUGAAAAGGCAACUGCUGGACACCUGGGACAGGCCAUCAAUUCCAAGUUGGCGGAACUGAGGUUUCAACUGAAGAAAAAGGAGACCUGUUAGAGUUUAGAGUUGUCUAAUAGAGAGGGUGAAGGAAGA